CUACGGGAGGCUCCAGUCGAGAAUCUUCCGCAAUGGACGAAAGUCUGACGGAGCGACGCCGCGUGCGGGAUGAAGGCCUUCGGGUUGUAAACCGCUGUCAGUGGGGAGGAAAUGCAUCAGGGUUCUCCCUGGUGUUUGACCGAUCCGCAGAGGAAGCGCAGGCUAAGUUCGUGCCAGCAGCCGCGGUAACACGAACUGCGCGAACGUUAUUCGGAAUCACGGGGCUUAAAGAGUUCGUAGGCGGCCUUUCAAGUCGGGUGUGAAAUCCCUCGGCUCAACCGAGGAAUUGCGCCUGAUACUGUUGGGAUUGAGGGGGAUAGGGGUGAGCGGAACUGAUGGUGGAGCGGUGAAAUGCGUUGAUAUCAUCAGGAACACCGGUGGCGAAGGCGGCUCACUGGAUCUCUUCUGACGCUGAGGAACGAAAGCUAGGGGAGCGAACGGGAUUAGAUACCCCGGUAGUC
rnacentral:rRNA from 1 species